rfam:Gammaproteobacteria bacterium Q1 genomic scaffold scaffold3, whole genome shotgun sequence.
GCCCAGAUAGCUCAGUCGGUAGAGCAGGGGAUUGAAAAUCCCCGUGUCGGUGGUUCGAUUCCGCCUCUGGGCA